AUUGAACGCUGGCGGCAGGCCUAACACAUGCAAGUCGGACGGUAGCACAGGGGAGCUUGCUCUCCGGGUGACGAGUGGCGGACGGGUGAGUAAUGUCUGGGAAACUGCCCGGUGGAGGGGGAUAACUACUGGAAACGGUAGCUAAUACCGCAUAACGUCUUCGGACCAAAGUGGGGGAUCUUCGGACCUCACGCCACCGGAUGUGCCCAGAUGGGAUUAGCUGGUAGGUGAGGUAACGGCUCACCUAGGCGACGAUCCCUAGCUGGUCUGAAAGGAUGACCAGCCACACUGGAACUGAGACACGGUCCAGACUCCUACGGGAGGAAGCAGUGGGGAAUAUUGCACAAUGGGCGCAAGCCUGAUGCAGCCAUGCCGCGUGUAUGAAGAAGGCCUUCGGGUUGUAAAGUACUUUCAGCGGGGAGGAAGGCGGUGAGGUUAAUAACCUCGCCGAUUGACGUUACCCGCAGAAGAAGCACCGGCUAACUCCGUGCCAGCCGCCGCGGUAA
rnacentral:rRNA from 1 species